AUUAUUGUGGACAAUAAUAAUAAUAAUAAUAAUAAUAAUAAUAAUAAUAGGCAUGGUGUUGUAUCUCCACAGUGUUGAACAGUUUAACCCACUGAUGAACAUCAGCUGUAACACCAGUCUGGAACAGGCCACAUGCUCACAGGCGGUGACGGGACUGACAGCGCAGGACCUGGCCAGUUUUCUCACCUGUUCACUGUCCAGCAAUACUACCUACUACAAGGAGACGUGGAAGCUCCUCUUCACUAAACUGGACGGAGUUCUGGACAACGCCCUCAGGAUCUUCUCUAGCAGAGCGCUGCCCUGGCCAGUCAACAACCCCUCAGUGUCGGAGAUGCUGGAUGCAGUUGCUGAUGUUCGUCUGCAGCAAUUCAGUCCUGACCAAUGGGAGAACGUGUCUGUAAUAGCCAACCUGUUCGAUAACGUCCUGAAGCCGCUCUUACCCUUCGCUUCAGCAGAUCUGCUCUACUGCUUCAGCAGCAAGAACUUCAGCUGCAACACCUACCACCUCCUGUUGAAGGAGUUUAGUGAUCAGAUGUUCCUCCUGGAUCAGAUGGAGAAGCUAAGAGUUCUGAAAGGCUUCAUCCUGCCUUACCUCACCAAGAACAGCACAGACAUGGGCUGUGUGUCCAGCACUAACGGCAGUUCUGAUUGGCUGGUGAAGAACUUUGGGGCGUUUUCUGAGCUAAUGACCGUCAGAGAUCUGAUAAACAUCAACCUUCUCUUUGACCCGCUUCUGGCUCUGUCCCAGCUUAGUCCCUCUCAGGUAGCUCAGGUGAUGCUGAUGGACGUUCCUGGUCACUCCACAGACGAGGUCAUCAACUCUGUGUUUGAUUUCCUGGUUGAAUCUCCGGAAACUCAUAGAAUGCCUGCAGUUCUGAACGCCCUCACCAGUUCCACUGUAAAUACACACUUUUACACACCUCCACACGCCUUUACACACCUCCACACACCUCUACACACCUUUACACACCUCCACACACCUUUACACACCU
rnacentral:lncRNA from 1 species